rnacentral:rRNA from 2 species
CCACGCGACCCCAGCUCAGGCGGGGCCACCCGCUGAGUUUAAGCAUAUCAAUAAGCGGAGGAAAAGAAACUAACAAGGAUUCCCCUA